rnacentral:rRNA from 1 species
CCUACGGGAGGCAGCAGUGAGGAAUAUUGGUCAAUGGACGAGAGUCUGAACCAGCCAAGUAGCGUGAAGGAUGACUGCCCUAUGGGUUGUAAACUUCUUUUAUCUGGGAAUAAAAUGUUCCACGUGUGGGAUUUUGUAUGUACCAUAUGAAUACGGAUCGGCUAACUCCGGGCCAGCAGCAGAGGUAAUACGGAGGAUCCGAGCGUUAUCCGGAUUUAUUGGGUUUAAAGGGAGCGUAGGUGGAUUGUUAAGUCAGUUGUGAAAGUUUGCGGCUCAACCGUAAAAUUGCAGUUGAAACUGGCAGUCUUGAGUACAGUAGAGGUGGGCGGAAUUCGAGGUGUAGCGGUGAAAUGCUUAGAUAUCACGAAGAACUCCGAUUGCGAAGGCAGUUCACUGGACUGCAACUGACACUGAGGCUCGAAAGUGUGGGUAUCAAACAGGAUUAGAUACCCUUGUAGUC